AUUUGAAGCCUGUCCAUGUUCGGCCCCCAAUGCCACCGUGUUAUCCUGGUCCCUAUGAUGAGAGGAUGUCUCCAAAUCAGUUCUACAGUGUCCUAAACUCUUCCCUCCUGGGUCACCCUUUUCCUCCUAGUGUUCCUCCUGUUCUCAGCCCCCUUCAGAGAGCACAGCUUCUUGAAGGAGCACAACAACAGCCUGGACAGAUGUCUCCCAGCCAGUUUGUAUGGGUCCCUGGAUUUGUAGUCCACUUGCUGCUAUGAAUCCCAAGUUGCUACAAGGGCAAGUUGGGCAGAUGCUUCCCCCAGCACCAGGCUUCCAUGCCUUUAGUGCUCCACCCUCUGCUACACCACCUCCACAGCCCAGGACCUCACUUGCAAAACCUAAGAUCUCAGGCACCAAUGUUUAGACUGGACACAACUCACCUCCAUCCACAGCACCACUGACUCUUGCAUCAGAGACAGCAACAGUAUAGAAAUCAGCAUCAGAAUCUCAAUGGUGCAGGGGAUAGAGGAAGUCACUGGAGCAGUCAUCACGAUCAUCUCUGAAAGGAUCCAUAUGCCAAUAUCAUGUUGCAGCAGGAAAAGGAUUGGGCCUCUAAAAUUCAGAUGAUGCAACUGCAAAGCACUGAUCCCUACCUGGAUGAUUUUUAUUACCAGAAUUACUUUGAAAAGCUGGAGAAACCAUCAGCUGCUGAAGAAAUACAAGGUGAUGGCCCUAAAAAGGAGUGCACCAAGGUUAUCACCCCUCAGGUGGCCAAACUGGAGCAUGCCUAUAAGCCAGUACAAUUUGAGGGCUCUUUGGGAAAGCUUACUGUUUCUAGUGUGAAUAAUCUCUGAAAAAUGAUUGAUGCUGUUGUAACAUCUUGGAAUGAGGAUGAUGAGAUAAAAGAAAAACAAGUAUGAAACAAGAGGAGAAAAACCCACCAUAAUUGAGAAAACUUACAGUUUGCUCCUUGAUGUGGAGGACUAUGAAAGACAUUAUCUCCUAAGUCUAGAAGAAUGACCUGCUCUAAUGGAUGAGCGAAAGUACAAAAUUUGUAGCAUGUAUGACAACUUAAGGGGGAAAUAGCCUGGACAAGAGCGGCCUAGUGAUGACCACUUUGUACAGAUCAUGUGUAUCCGAAAAGGGAAGACAAUGGUUGCCUGUAUUCUUCCUUUCCUCUCCACAGAGCAAGCAGCUGACAUUCUCAUGACAACAGCCAGGCAUGUCUCGAACUCCUAACCUCAGGUGAUCCAACUGCCUCAGCCUCCCAAAAUGUUGUUGGGAUUACAGGCAUGAGCCACCACGCCCAGCCUUGCUUUGAGCAUUUCCAUUCAACACUCUACAGAAUGCCCUAGCCUGUGAAGUAUGGCAAAUAAAUGAAAUAUAAAUUAGAAGGAACUGUCUUCACAGAUGUCCUGAUUGUGUUUAUAGAAAAUUCUAAGUAAUUUAUAAAAAAAUAAACCCUGCUAAAGCUAAGUGAAUUUAGCAAGUCUCAUAAAAUACAAUAUCAAGAUACAAAAAUGUAAAUACUUUAAGGACAAAUUGUUUCUAGGUGUUAAAGAACAGAUCAUUACAACUCUAAAGUCUUAUCAAUAAAAGAAAAAAACUAUAAUACUGCCUAAUUUGACUAUAGAUGGAAAAGUUCUAAUUAAAAUAUCACCAAAUGAACUCUAGUAGUAUGACAAAAAUUAUAGCAUAUUACAAGAAAUGUUUAAAAUUUAAGAAAGUCAUAAGUACAAAUCAAUACAUCAAUAAAUUUAAGGGGAAAAACAUAAAAUAGAUAACAAAAUAUCCUUAGACAAAAUUUAGCAGUUUUUAAAUUAACAAUCACUACAAAAGUAGGCAUCCUCCCUCUACCCCCACAUAUACUGAAGGAAAUUUAAAGUCAGCAGAGAAUUUAUCCCCAAAUGAAGAGUGAAUAUUAUAGUAAAUAAUUAAAUGUAGGUUCUGAGGAAACAUAAGACCAAAGAAAAAAAUGUUGGGAUAUAGUCCAUUAAAUUUGGAAAAACAGAUACCUGUUACCAUAAUAUUCAACUGUGUUCUGAAGAGUCUAGCUAUUGCAAUAAGAAAAUCAAAUAUAAAUACUGGAAAAUAAAAUUUUAGUUAUGUAAUCUGCAAAGAUUACAUAACUGAUAACCUAUGAAUCUUAAAAUGUCUCAUAAAAAUAGAAUGCAUGGUCAGACUAUAUGCAUGUAGGUAGAAAAUACUGCAUCAAUAUAGCAAAGUAUCCAGAAUGACAUUCAAGUCAAUUAGAGGGAAGGAAAAAAACAAGACAAAAAUAAUGGAGAAAGCCAAGAAUAUGAAAGUCAAAGUAAAGGAAUGAUGAUAGGCCAAGAAAUACAUUUCGAAAGUGGCUUAAGUCAAAAUUUAGGAAUACAUACAAAAACAUACCUAAACUGAAGCUACAGGGACACUGAGUUUACCAGUCCGCAGGAUCUAAAAGAACAAUUUGGAAAUAUCUAGUAGGGUAUAUAGAACCUAUGAUUGAUUUAGUAUUAUCUAACAUAACUGAAAGAGUGUAUCAUGUAUGAGCAAUUGUUCUUCCAUGUAUAUACAGCUACUGAAAUUCCAGUUCACAUAAACCAAUGAUCACAGACAAGGAUAUUUAUUGAAGUAUAUUUGAAAGAGUGAAAACCUGUUAAAACAUAAAUACUCACCAAUAAAAGUUUAAAUUCAUUAUCGUAUGUUCAAAUAAAAAAUUGAGCCAUCCUCAUUAGUAUAGUAGUGAAUAUAUAAAAACAAAACUGGGCCAGCAAUUUAUUGCAGAGGAAUAUGUGAGCAGCAGAGAAAUACACCAUUCAUUUCCUUUCCCAGCAUAGCUAAACAUCUGCCAUAAGAUCUGAAUAUUCUAUCUUUAGGGUCACUGUGUUUUGGUUAUGGCAUUUCCAGUGUGGGUUCACAUCCCAAAAUACUAGAUAUUCUGAAUGAGACUUCCUUAGUAAAGUUUAUCAUGCACUAAAGUUAAGCAAAUUUUCUUUAUUGUAAGACUCAAAUCUUUUGAUAGUCUGAUAAUAAGCAUUUUUUUAAAAAAGGGAUUUAGUAUUCAAAACUUCACAAGGCUGUGUGCCCACAAGCCAUUUCUCAAAUGCCAUUAAGUACUACUAAUCCCAGAAACGUUCUUUUAGAUAUGUUGUGUUAAGGCACUGGUACUUUGAAGGAACAAUCCACUAAUACAUUAACAAAAUUUUGCAUUAAUAUAUGUCUCAAAAUACUCUGCUUUUUGUUACAUCCAAUUAGCGUUAUUUGUAAAAAGAAUUUGCAAAUGUUGAGCAAUGAUAUAACUAGAUAGUAAAUGACUUGUACAAUGAUAUAUUAUGGCUGUCUUAUUGGCAUAAAAUGGACCUGGAGUUGCAAACCAUAAUGGAUCCAUGAGAUCACAGACAUUUUGGUUGACAAUGGACAUUAGUUUAAGUUGAGGAAAGUGGUAGUAUGGUAGUCUUAAAGAAAUGAGUUACAAUUUUUUUUAAGGAAGAAUUGAAUUUCAACUGUAUAUAUUCAUGCGAACCCCUACAUGCCAUUAAAUCUAUAUAUUUUGGUGCAGAUGGUUUUGUGUUCUUACCAGGAAGGCUUCUCACAAAACUGCUUGAUGACUGCCACCUGGUUGGAAGUAUUGUCAGACGCCAUAAAUUGUAAGAUACACCUUGAUUUCAAAUAUGUGAAAAAUCGUGCUCAGUGUUAAGCAUCGAGGAAAUUAUCAUAUCCAAUCUAGGCCAUACUUUGGCCAUUUAAAGCUAAGAAAAACUGAGAACAUGGAUCUUGAAGAUAUUUGGACUGGAUCAGCUCUUCCUUUCUCAUCAUUAAUUUGGAAAACUAGAACAGAUCUAUCCCUGGACAGUCCAAGUAAAGAAAUUGUUUUGCUUAAUUGCUUUACUAGGUUUUUGAAUGAAUGUGCUGAUGGUUUAGAAUUUCUGCUUUCUUCAUAAAGACUCACCUACAUUUUUGUCUUUUAAGAACUAUCCUCGUCUGUUGUAUUAUGAGGAUUAUAGUAUCAGUGUACAGAGCGCCAGUGAAAUUUUGAUAUUACCUCCUUGAAAUUUUUGGUAAAACAAAAAAUAUCUCCUCCAUCUGUACUUACAUCCAAUUCUCAUUCACAAUGCCGUAAUUAUCUUUUAUCUUUGAUCAGAUGUACUAAAAUCAAGAAUUAAUAUUUUUUCACAAAGCCUUAAUAAGUAUAUUUUAUUUUCAAAUUCAUUAACUCCUUUUAAUGAUCCUUUCUUCUUUCUUAUAUUGACUUAUUUUUCCUUUAGUUUCUUGAGUUUAAUGCUUCUUCAUUAUUUUAACAGUUUUAUAAGCGAUUACUAUGUUAAAGAGACAGUAUUAAGUCACUGGGAGUAGAGUGGUGAGCAGGAGAAACUAAGCACUGACCCUCAAUAUUUGUUUCCUGAAUACAUUAACAGGUUAUUGAUUUUUCACUGAGCACAGGUUUGACCACAUUCACAAAUUCUGAUCUCAUCAUUCAUUUCUAAAUUGUCCUUUAUGGUUUCAUUUUCUUUUUAAUCUAGUGUCAUUAUAUGAUUGGAGAUUUUAAAUUUCCGAAAUGCCAAAGUACUACUCUACAGAUCAUUUACUAAAUUAAAAGAACUACUUAGCUUUACAACAGAGAAACCUGGCGAUUACCAUAUGAAACAAAUAUUUCAGUUACCUAUUGCUGUGUAACAAAC